rnacentral:tRNA from 1 species
AGGGGCGUAGUUCAAUGGUAGAACAGCGGUCUCCAAAACCGCAGGCGCGGGUUCGAUUCCUGCCGCCCCUGCCA